UACGGAGGGUGCAAGCGUUAUCCGGAUUCACUGGGUUUAAAGGGUGCGUAGGCGGGUUGGUAAGUCCGUGGUGAAAUCUCCAAGCUUAACUUGGAAACUGCCGUGGAUACUAUCAAUCUUGAAUAUCGUGGAGGUAAGCGGAAUGUGUCAUGUAGCGGUGAAAUGCUUAGAUAUGACAUAGAACACCAAUUGCGUAGGCAGCUUACUACACGAUCAUUGACGCUGAGGCACGAAAGCGUGGGGAGCAAACAGG
rnacentral:rRNA from 1 species